GUGGGGAAUAUUGGACAAUGGGCGAAAGCCUGAUCCAGCAAUGCCGCGUGAGUGAUGAAGGCCCUAGGGUUGUAAAGCUCUUUUACCCGGGAUGAUAAUGACAGUACCGGGAGAAUAAGCUCCGGCUAACUUCGUGCCAGCAGCCGCGGUAAUACGAGGGGAGCUAGCGUUGUUCGGAAUUACUGGGAGUAAAGCGCGCGUAGGCGGUUUUUUAAGUCAGAGGUGAGAGCCCGGGGCACAACCCCGGAAAUGCCUUUGAAACUGGAAAACUAGAAUGUUGUAGAGGUCAGUGGAAUUCCGAGUGUAGAGGUGAAAUUCGUAGAUAUUCGGAAGGACACCAGUGGCGAAGGCGACUGACUGGACAAGUAUGGACGCUGAGGUGCGAAAGCGUGGGGAGCAAACAGGAUUAGAAGCCCCGGUAGUCC
rnacentral:rRNA from 1 species